AUUGCCAAUACAACCUCUGCUAAUAGUCAGCUUCAUCUGGGAAAAUGUUCUGUCAGACUUUGGGGCAGAGUUUAAAAGGAAUUGGAGAGCUUGACUUGGCACAAAGGGCUAGGGAUAGCUGGGUCUGAAGACUGAGAGAUAGGAGCAGGAAUGAAUGGCACAAUCAUUAUUGACACUCAAAUUUCUUAGCAUCUGGGAGUUUGUUCAAAGUGUUAAGAGUCUGGCAAGAGAUCAGUUUCUCCAUCUCUUCUUCUUCACCCAGGGCAAGCUACAGCUGGACUCUAUCAAUCAACCAAGCUACAAGCGUAGGGUAAACACCUGCCAUUUGCAAGGGAGUAUAGUAGAUAGAAGAGCAGCUAGGUGGUACAGUGAAUAGGAUGCCAGAUCUGGAG
ensembl:lncRNA